rnacentral:rRNA from 1 species
AGCAGCCGCGGUAAUUCCAGCUCCAAUAGCGUAUAUUAAAGUUGUUGCAGUUAAAAAGCUCGUAGUUGAAUUUCGGGGUCAGCAGGUUGGUCGUGCCACUGGUAUGUACUGGCUUUGCUGAUUCCUCCUUCUUGUAGAACCGUAAUGCCAUUAAGUUGGUGUUGCGGGAAAACAGGACUGUUACUUUGAAAAAAUUAGAGUGUUUAAAGCAGGCUAACGCUUGAAUACAUUAGCAUGGAAUAAUGAAAUAGGACGACGAUCCUAUUUUGUUGGUUUCUAGGAUUGACGUAAUGAUUAAUAGGGAUAGUUGGGGGCAUUAGUAUUCAAUUGUCAGAGGUGAAAUUCUUGGAUUUAUUGAAGACUGACUACUGCGAAAGCAUUUGCCAAGGAUGUUUUCAUUAAUCAAGAACGAAAGUUAGGGGAUCGAAGACGAUCAGAUACCGUCGUAGUCUUAACCAUAAACUAUGCCGACUAGGGAUCGGAUGAUGUUAAUUUUAUAAUGACUCA